AGAAUCAACGCUGGCGGCGUGCCUAACACAUGCAAGUCGAACGAGAAAGUGGAGCAAUCCAUGAGUAAAGUGGCGCACGGGUGAGUAACACGUGACUAACCUACCCUUGAGUGGGGGAUAACCUAGGGAAACCUGGGCUAAUACCGCAUAAUACCUUCGGGUCAAAGGAGCAAUUCGCUUAAGGAGGGGUCGCGGCCGAUUAGUUAGUUGGCGGGGUAAUGGCCCACCAAGACUGUGAUCGGUAUCCGGCCUGAGAGGGCGCACGGACACACUGGAACUGAAACACGGUCCAGACUCCUACGGGAGGCAGCAGUGGGGAAUUUUGCGCAAUGGGGGAAACCCUGACGCAGCAACGCCGCGUGGAGGAUGAAGCCCCUUGGGGCGUAAACUCCUUUCGAUCGGGACGAUAAUGACGGUACCGGAAGAAGAAGCCCGGCUAACUUCGUGCCAGCAGCCGC
rnacentral:rRNA from 1 species